rnacentral:rRNA from 1 species
AUGAACGCUGGCGGCGUGCCUAAUACAUGCACGUCUAGCGAACAGACGAGGAGCUUGCUCCUCUGACGUUAGAGGCGGCCGGGUGAGUAACACGUGGCUAACCUACCUAUAAGACUGGGAUAACUUCGGGAAACCGGAGCUAAUACCGGAUAAUAUAUUGAACCGCAUGGUUCAAUAGUGAAAGACGGUUUUGCUGUCACUUAUAGAUGGAUCCGCGCCGCCUUAUCUCGUUGGUAAGGUAACGGCUUACCAAGGCAACGAUGCGUAGGCGACCGGAGAGGCUGAACGGCCACACAGGAACUGAGACGGGGACCAGACUGCUAAGGGAGGCAACGGAAGGGAGUCUGCCGAAAUGGACGAAAGCCUGACGGAGCAACACCACGUGAAUGAUGAAGGUCACGGGAAAAGAAAACAUUGUUAUUAGGGAAGAAAAAAUGUGUAAGAGACUAAGCACUUCUUGACGGUACCUAAUUAGAAAGCAACAAAUAACUACGUG